GAUAAUAUUUCCCAUCUUGUUUUGUUUUGUCUUUCAUACCGUGUCAUGUCUCUUCUCAGUCAUGUUGACACUGGUCUACUACCAGGUCAUGUGUCUUCUCAGUCAUGUUGACACUGGUCUACUACCAGGUCAUGUCUCUUCUCAGUCAUGUUGACACUGGUCUACUACCAGGUCAUGUCUCUUCUCAGUCAUGUUGACACUGGUCUACUACCAGGUCAUGUGUCUUCUCAGUCAUGUUGACACUGGUCUACUACCAGGUCAUGUGUCUUCUCAGUCAUGUUGACACUGGUCUACUACCAUGUCAUGUGUCUUCUCAGUCAUGUUGACACUGGUCUACUACCAGGUCAUGUGUCUUCUCAGUCAUGUUGACACUGGUCUACUACCAGGUCAUGUCUCUUCUCAGUCAUGUUGACACUGGUCUACUACCAGGUCAUGUGUCUUCUCAGUCAUGUUGACACUGGUCUACUACCAGGUCAUGUGUCUUCUCAGUCAUGUUGACACUGGUCUACUACCAGGUCAUGUGUCUUCUCAGUCAUGUUGACACUGGUCUACUACCAGGUCAUGUGUCUUCUCAGUCAUGUUGACACUGGUCUACUACCAGGUCAUGUGUCUUCUCAGUCAUGUUGACACUGGUCUACUACCAGGUCAUGUGUCUUCUCAGUCAUGUUGACACUGGUCUACUACCAGGUCAUGUGUCUUCUCAGUCAUGUUGACACUGGUCUACUACCAGGUCAUGUCUCUUCUCAGUCAUGUUGACACUGGUCUACUACCAGGUCAUGUGUCUUCUCAGUCAUGUUGACACUGGUCUACUACCAUGUCAUGUGUCUUCUCAGUCAUGUUGACACUGGUCUACUACCAGGUCAUGUGUCUUCUCAGUCAUGUUGACACUGGUCUACUACCAGGUCAUGUGUCUUCUCAGUCAUGUUGACACUGGUCUACUACCAGGUCAUGUGUCUUCUCAGUCAUGUUGACACUGGUCUACUACCAGGUCAUGUGUCUUUUCAGUCAUGUUGACACUGGUCUACUACCAGGUCAUGUCUCUUCUCAGUCAUGUUGACACUGGUCUACUACCAGGUCAUGUGUCUUCUCAGUCAUGUUGACACUGGUCUACUACCAGGUCAUGUGUCUUCUCAGUCAUGUUGACACUGGUCUACUACCAGGUCAUGUGUCUUCUCAGUCAUGUUGACACUGGUCUACUACCAGGUCAUGUGUCUUCUCAGUCAUGUUGACACUGGUCUACUACCAGGUCAUGUGUCUUCUCAGUCAUGUUGACACUGGUCUACUACCAGGUCAUGUGUCUUCUCAGUCAUGUUGACACUGGUCUACUACCAGGUCAUGUGUCUUCUCAGUCAUGUUGACACUGGUCUACUACCAGGUCAUGUGUCUUCUCAGUCAUGUUGACACUGGUCUACUACCAGGUCAUGUCUCUUCUCAGUCAUGGUGACACUGGUCUACUACCAGGUCAUGUGUCUUCUCAGUCAUGGUGACACUGGUCUACUACCAG